UUACAGUUUUUCUCAGCAUUAUUUAG
rnacentral:piRNA from 1 species